CAGGGGAACUAAGAUCCCACAUGCUGCGCAGCGCAGCCAGAAAACAAACAUACAAAAAUAAAACAAAAAAACCAUUCUUGGAUAAUUAUGAUCUCAAAUGAGUUAUUUAAGGAAACAAACAUGACAAAAUAUUUCUUAUAUCUAUGAAGUGUUUCUCAGAAGGAUGAAAGUUGUUAUAAUUUUCAUAAUAGUUAUUUUCUGUCAUUAUGAUCAUAAAUAGAAUUUAUGUGUUUGCAUGAGGGGCAAUAAAUACUGGAGAGGCAGGCUGACUCUUAGGAAAAUAUAUGUGUAGAUUGCAAACCCCUUGAAAGCAGAGACCUCAUUCAUCUCACUCCCUAUCCUCAGAGCCUGAAGUUCAUCCUGAUAAAUGUUGUUAAUCAAUAAAUACUUGCGGAAUGUAUAACAAAUUAAUAUGUAUCACGUUUUCUGAUCUCACUGGAGAAUCUCAGUGGAGAAUCCACAACCUACAAAUGUGCUGAAUUCCAAAAGCAUUUUGAGGCAUAUUGUUUGCAACUUAAAAUAUAUUUCUCCACAGAAAAAGCCAUUAUGGAUGGUACAGGGGUUGGCAGGCCAGCUCAUGAAAGUCACUUCAUCUACAAUGUAGCAGAAACAGUAUACAUUUGAAAUGAACAAGUAACAGAAAAAGAAAUACUGCAGCAAUAAAACCAAGAUAGAAAUAAUAAAAUUGAAUAAAACCUUAAAAUUUUCUUGUCCCUCAGUGCUUGAAGAGAAGCAGAUUUAAGUAUGAGAAGAAGAGAUGUAUGGAAACUGUCAUGGAGACGCUUGUAUUCUCGAGGAAUUUAGAAGCUGAUGGCUUUUUAAAAAUUAUGUAGAAUUCCCCUUCAAAACAUAAUUCCGCUUAUCCAUGAUAAAAGUCUUUGAAUAACACUAUUUUAACUCUCACGAGCUAAGAUGAAAGUGCCUUUUAAAAUUCAAAAAUAGAAUGGUGAAAAGAGGAAAAGAAACAAACAUGAAGAAAAAUCAAGUAAACGGAACAGCAACAACAGAGAGGAGAAUAUGGUAAUACGAAUUAAUGUAGUCCCCUCUGUGCCCAGGAACUGAGGAUAAAAAAAGGCAUGAAACACAGUCCCUGCCCUCAAGAAACUUCAAGCGUAGUAAGAACUGGAGUUAUUUAUGCUCUGAGCGAUAAACUUGGGGACUGUCAAUCAGCACACUGAAAGAAUCUGUAAAUGAGAUGCACGCAUCCCUGUUGGAGAUCAUCCAGGAAUGAUGGAGGACAGGAUAGCUGUCAGAAGACUGGCUUCCUUUGUUCGCUUGCACCUUCCUUCCUCUUUUUCCUUUCUUCCUUCCCUUCUUAACCUUCCAUUCCCCUUCCUCUCUUUCCUACCUUCCAUUCUUCCCACGUAUUGAUGAUUUGUUCUGUGCUAAGUGUCAGGGAUAUCCUUAAGGAGACAUGUCCCCCACCUUUAACAAUCUCGUGGGGAAAAGAAGACAUCAGACAUCAUUAGAGUAUAAUGUAUUAAAUACAAAAAUAAAUGUCUAUAAAAGUGUUUUAAAGUACAGAGAAGGAAGACCUUAACUUGUCCCAUAGGGGUUAGGAGGGCCUCACAGAAAAAUAAAUAUGAAUUUGCCAGGUGGACAAGGCAGUAUUUUAGGGAGAAGAAAAGUACGUAUAAAACCAUGGAUUUGGGGAAAAAUAUGAUCAUUGCUAUCACAACAGUCACAAAAACAACUAACAUGUGUGAUGCACUUACUAUGUGCCAGGCACCAUGUUAUAAGCUUUUCAUAAAGUAACGCUUUUAAUCUUUACAACCGCCCUAAAGGGUAAGUAUUAUUCUGUUCUUCUGAUGAGGAUAUCAGAUCCCAGAUGGUUAAGAAAUUUGCCCCAAAGAAGAACUGGUGUAUGUUUACGGAGUUGGAACCGCUUCAGUGUGUUGGUGUGUGAAGGAUGUGGUGGAAAAUGUCAAGAGGUGGGGUUCGAAAGAUCUCCUGGCGUGUGUGUAAUAAACACUAAGCUGUAUUACAGAAAAGGACUCAGGUUCAUUCUUAAGCAGAACAAAUUUGUCCAUCUAUUCCUCUGUCUGUGCAUCUACUCAUUUAUUAAAUAUAUAUACAUAGAGGAUUUUAAACAGCACACAGAAAUCAUAAAUUGAGUGAGUAAAAAUGAGAGUGAAAGAAGAGAAAAGAUGAGGGAGAGGUUAGGAAUAAGGCUAACUGAGCAGACAUCGGUGAACCUUGGCAGACACUAGAGCUAUUUUACAUCUCUGUGUGGACGUUAAAAAAACAAUUUAGGAGAGAAAGCCAAGCUACCCCCUGAGUGAGCCGAAAUUGUACCCACUGGAAAGGCCAGGAUAUUUCAAAAGAAUGAUUUUGGAGUCAUUUAAUCAGAUGGACAGAUGGGUCAUAGAGGCCAUAAUGUCCUAUUUCUUAUAGCAUAGUGGGUAUGAUUUUCGUGUGAAAAGUUUUUUUUUUCUUUUUUUAAAGGAGAUAUAACCAGAUGCCACCUUCAUCAAAACACAAUCUUAAUAAAGUACUCAUGUAACGCCUGCCUUUAAUAAUUCUACUGCCUGAAUAUUUGCCAAGAUGACUUAUUUGUGACAUUUAUACCAAUCCAAAUAAAUAAGUUAACUUACUGGUUGGCUUGUUAUUUUUAAACACCACCUAACAAAUACACUAACUUUGGUUUUAGAAUGGUUGACAUGUAACCUUUCCUUUUGGCAGUGAUUAGCUAUCAGGGGCAGUUGCCUGUUCAGGCUGUUCUGAGUUUGCAAGACUUAAAUUGCAUUAGCCAAAUAGUUUCUGUUAUAAGGUAGUUUUAAUUGAGUAUAUCCAGACAUGCUUCUAAGAUUGUUUAGAAAGAAGUUCAAAAGAAGAGGGUAACACAAACUAUGAAAAAAUAAAGUGCUGUGUUAAAAGAUCAUCCUGAGUAACACUAACUCUUGUGUCAGUAACCUAUUUCUGUGUACAUAUAGGGAUAGGGUGAGGAGAGUGGUAUAUGUUGAGCUCCUAUUUCUUGACCCAUAACUAAUUCCUGUCCACAGAGGCAAAAGUUGAUAAAAGCUGCACGUAAUCUGAAAGUGCUUCUGGUAGAUACCGCAUGAAGUGGUGAAUGGCAGGACAGUGUGGUGGCUGUUUGUAGCACAAUAGCUAAGUUUAAAGGCCUGCGUAACUACGGCCAAUAAUUGGUCAGGCAUGUGGGUUGUGUAUGAUUUGGGUGAACAGUCCAGCAGUCUAAUAAGUGUAUGAUUUGGGGGAACAGAGGGGAUCCUUUCUGAAAAUAGAAUGAACGGUAGAGUCGCACCAGGAGCUAUCAACACUAUGCCCAGAGUCAAUAGACAUGUAAAACAAGCUAUUGAAGAGGAAAGAUCUCAGUUCUGAAAAGUCAUUGAAUAGCUUUCAGGGCAAAAUGUCUUAACCAGGGCUUUUAUUGGUUUAUAUUUUCAGUUGGCUGUACAGGAUGAGGCCCUGAUUGACAAAAGUUGAGGCAGUUAACUGUCUUGUAAGGUGGUGAGAACUGAGCCUCCUGCCUAUCAGUUGAGCCUCUAUAAAUAUUUUCCCCACUCAUUUCAUACCUAUAACUCUGUCUAGAAUUUAUCCAUAUUGUCUAAUGAAAUCUAAUGGCAUGGCUCUGGUCCUGUUACAGGUUUUAUUAGAACUAAGGUUUUCCUGAGGUAAUACAAUUGUGUUAAAUAAGCUUUAAAAGAUUUAAAUUUUACAACGCCAUGGCCUCUUGUUUGGUUUUUGUCAUUGUAAGCUUCUCAGCAAAUCUUGUCAAGUGAGGUACUAAAAAAGUGAAAAGUAGAAUGUGCAUUUUCUGUUAAAUUUUAUUUUUCAGGUAAAAUUGGUUUUCAAAUCUGCUAAUUGGUGAAAAGAGAUCCACUUCUCUCUCAAGUUACAGAAGCAGAAAUUCAACUGGUCCUUAUUAAUGAAAGAUCUUCAGUGAAGGUUGAAAGCCCUUCAGAUCAAUCAUACCAGACUUUGAGCUCCUCUGGCCUCUGUGGUUCUAUCAUCUGUGCUCAUGGUUCACAGGUGUGCAGGACAGCUAUGUCCAGGACUAACCGAGGACAAAAAUGGUUACUUAACCACCCAGAUAGUUCACUGGAAAUAAAUAUGGAAAUUUCCUAAGAGGCUGAAUACUGAUGAGGUUGUGACUGAAUUUAGAAUUCUCUUCUGGACACAAUUCCUUGGGUGAUAUAGGAUCCUAAAUUUAUUUGUUUUACCUUUGUAUUUUGGAAAAGUUAAAACUUAUAAAAGUUGAUAAAUUAGUAUCCUGUGUGCCCAUCACCUAGCUUCAAGAAUUAUUAAUUUACAGGGCAGAAUAAUGGCCCCCGCAAGAUGUCCAUGUCCUAAAGCCUGGAACUUGUUGAUAUGUUGGGUUAUGUGAUAAGCAAGAAUUAUGGUUACGCAUGGAAUUAAGGUUGCUCAUCAGUUGACACUGAGAUGGGGGAGAUUAUCCUGAUUCUCCAGGUGGGAACAAUCUAAUCACAUGCAUCUUUGUAAGUGCAAGAAGGAGGCACUAGAGAGAGACCCAGAUAGAUGGCCAUGUGAGAAGGUAUUGGCUGAUGCUGUUCAAGAGAGAUGGAGGAAUGGGGCCUUGAGCCAAGGAAUGUGGCUAGCCUAUAAAAGCUGAAAAAGGCAAGGAAACAGAUUCUCCCCUAGAGCAGCCUGAAGGACUGGAGGCCUGUCAACACCUUGAUUUUAGCCUAGUGAGACCUAAUUCAGAUUUCUUACCUACAGAACCAUAAGAUAAUAAAUUUGUGUUGUUUUAGGCCACUGAGUUUGAGGUAAUUUUUUGUAGCAGCUAUAGAAAACAGAUUUCUAAAAAAAAAAAAAAGGGAGGGAGAGCGAAAGCCUGUCAAAAUGUGAAGGGAAUAAAAUAAUCCUUAAGGUUAGCACUAAAAAUUUCUUUGAAUGUAUUUUACAAACCUAGCAAAGAAAGACUUUUAUUUGUUGGCUUUGACUACAAAAGGAAUGGAUAUAAAUCUGAAUAUCUAUAAAAGAGAUUUGAAUAUAUAUACAAAAGUUUAAAUAGAUAUUUAAAUUGCUAAUAUGAUUAGUUUUAUUAAUCACUUGAAUGAUUUAAGCCCAUUACUCUCAUCUUUUGGUGCCAUUUUUGUUAAACUACUUAUUUCCAUUACGUAAAUUGCAAAUUAGAUAAUCUGGCUUACUUAAAUAUAUGUAUUAUGGUACUCUUGAUGGUUUUCCUUUAUAUACUAUUUAUCUAAUUUCAGCAAAAAGGCAGAUAUUGGAGAGAUAAAAACUCAUUAUUUUAUAGAAGCUAGUGAAAUUGUUUAUACUUAUUAAGAUAUGGUACUUUCAAUAAAACCAACUUAAAAUCUAUGAUCAUUUUCUUCAAAAUAAUUCUCUAAAUUCCUAUUUAUAUUCAUAGGUUCUUUUUUUCUAAGCCUGAUAAAGUAUUUAAGUUGAAUCCAAAAACCAACCAACCAAUCACUCAACUAACUCUGCAAACAUAAGUAAAAACAAAAAGAUAAACAAAACAAAGCAUUUAAGUUUAUAAGCACUUUUGAAAAGUGAUGCAAAUGGCUUGAAUGAACUUUCUCAUAUAUCUAGUUUUUAUCUUGCUAAUGUUAAAGGACAAAAGAUCAAUGUCUAGAUUUACUGAAGUCAUGUAUCCUAAUGGACUAUUUCUUUCUUUUACGUUUAGACACUUUCCCCCUCAAAGAUAUUAGCCAUAUGAUUCACAAUCUGCAGUGAGGUUUUACUAAAUGUUAUUAUUGGAGAUAUAUUCAACUGUAUGUUUGAGAUGGAUAGAUUAUAUUCCUUUGGAAAGUUGCAGGAGAAAUUCUGUGGUAGCAUAUACUUGUUUUGAAAGUAUAAACUAGAAAUACACACUAAUAAUUUUGAGCAUAUGGCGCAAACUUUAACACACAGACACAACAUAUGCACAUCAAACUCCAAAAUCUCAGAAAUACAUAUAUUUAACAUUUCCACUUAAUACUUAAUACAUCAUCUCAUUCUUCCUAGACACUAUGAGAAACUGAAAUGUACAAAAUUAAGGGUCGUCUCUAAAGCUGUUGUGAUGUAUAAACCUGGUUAGGCUGUGGUGCCCAGUUAUUUGGUUGUUAUGAAAAUAGUUUUUAGAUGUGAUUAACAUUUACAAUCAGUAGACUUUGAAUAAAGCAGAUUAUCCUCCAUAAUCUGGGUGGGCCUCAUCUAACUCGUUGAAGGUCUUAAGAGCAAAGAUGGAGGAUUCUUGAGGAAAAAGCAAUUCUUCCUCAAGACUGCAGCAUAGAAACACUGCCCAAGUUUCCCACCUGCUGGCCUGCAUUGCAGAUUUUGGGCUCAAGGCUGCAACAUCAACUCUUCUUUGAGUUUCUAGCCUGCUGGUCUGCCCUAUGGAUUUUAGACUUUCUAGGCCCCUAAAUUGUAUAAGUCAAUUCCUUAAAGUCUCUGUCUCUCUGUCUCUCUCUAGAUAGGUAGGUAGAUAGACAGACAGAUAGAUAGACAGACAGACAGAUAGAUAGAUCCAUCUCCUAUUGGUUCUGUUCCUCUCAGACAGACCCUGCCUAAAUAGCUAUCAUUGCCCAAACACCUUGCAAAUAAGACAUUAACCUUGAUUACUUCUGAAAAAAAGUAAUUCUGUAUUCUCAUUUUGGGUACCUUUCACUUGCUUUAUUUAAAUUGAUCCAAAAUAUUUUAUUCCUUUUAGCUCAAAUUGAUAACAAAAACUUUAAAAGCUCAAAAGAACUUCUUUCUACCCAAUAUUCCUGUCAUUGAGUUUCUUUCUCCACCUCCACCCAACUCCUCACUACUUUCCUAUCCAGUCCAUGAAUUAUCCCUAACACAUACUUCAUUUUUCUAAAAUACAAGAUCAUUGAAGAACUUUUUAGACACUCUAACAUAGUUUUUAAAUUUUUUGGUUUAAGUCUCUUUUCUGUGACUAUCACUACUAUGUUCUGGUUUUUACGUAUUCUCCCUGGUGACUUUUCUAUAAAUUUAUGUUUAGCCAACAGUUAAAAUAAUGUGUGCUUGGAUAAUAGUUGAAAAAGCUCAAAGACUCUGGAUCAAUUACCAUAAGGCUGUCUUAAAGAAGACUUGCUUUGUCUACCUUAAUAUAAGACCCUUUACUGGUGUUUAAGAUAAAGCUCUGUCUUCAUUUUCUUCUUUAGAUUCAGAGUAAUUCUGACCAGAACUCUAAAACGAAUUGCAAAUGAUCAGUUAAUUAAAGCAAUGCAGUCCACACCAGGAGGACUGAGUUCCUUUCUAAGCUGAUAAAAUAUUUAAAAAUGCAUAUUAAUAUGGGACUUUUUCCAGGUAAAGAUACAAAAUUCAAAACUACAACAAAAUUAGUCUUCUGCUGUUGCUUAAGAGGGAUUUAGCCCCUGUGCAAUUUAUGACUCAGAUUAUCUUCUUAAACAAUGUUACCCAAAUAAACCUUCCUUGAAAUCAGUGGUACUGGUAUUCAAACAUUUUUCCUUUACAUGGAGUUAACUGUAUCCUCUAUCAUCUGACUGAACCAACUAAUGUCAUUUCUCUUAAAGACAUCAACAGCUCAAGGAAAAACAAAGUUUUCUCUCCAGGGCUGGGGGAGGAAUUUUGCUUUGCACUUGAAAAUGUUUUCUCUGUUCCAAGAAGAUAUUAGGAUCAGUUGACUGACAACAGGAAAAAUUUUCCUGGCAGAGAAGGAAGCCAGAGGAGAUUCACAUGCAGACAAAAUAUUAACUAUCAGGCUGUUUGUAUCCCCAUAUCUACUCUAAUAUGCCAAGCUGGGAUAAAUCAAAUGGGCUCUAAAAAUGGUAGAUAAAAAUGUGAUUUCACAAUAAUUCUGGAGUUUUGCAGAAUAUUCAUCUUAAGCAUUUAUUUUUCUCCAAAGAGUUAUUUAUUACCGGGUAAAGCUAUAUAGUUAUUCCAAUAUACGCACUACUCUAGGAAAAAAAAAAUCCUUAAAAACUCUGCAUUUUAAAAGUGCUAUAAAGAUACAACUGAAGACAGAGUUGUAAAAACACAACUAGCUGAAGUGCUAGUGUGAGUUAAAAGAGACUGGGACCCAGACAGAGGUGCCUGAAAUUUGAAACAAGGAGGGAAACCAGGUCAGAUGAUGUAGUGUAGUACUUGGUGAUGUGUCCACUUUCCAGCUGGAUAUCCCUCUUCAGGCGUGGCUGGGACUGAAGGGUCCUUCCUCAGGGUAUGGGGAAUGUGUAUAUACAACUUGUCUCUAUCAUGAGACCCUCAGGUUUGGUAAUCUCUAAGCGAAGUGGGAAUUGGACUCACAGCAUAAAUGCAAAGAGGACUAAGGACACAUGAAAGCAAUGUUGGGGUAAAUUCACAAGGCAAAUGCUUCAGAGACCUCAGGACAGACUUUCCUAGUCAGCGUUUCAUAGCAACUUCAUAAUCAUUCAGUUUUCCCUGGUUUCAAAGUGUGAUCCUUGUGAGGAUUAGCAGAACAAUAAUUUAAUCUAGGCUGUAAUUUAUAUUCUAAAAAUCCCUCAAAGAAAGGAGGAAAUUCUGAUCUCUGAGAGUAAAGGUGGGGCAGACACUGGACAGACUCUUCUCUCCUACUGCUAGACUCUCUUGAUCCUCUUACCGUUUCCUUUAUUGCCUUUGGGGACCUAACCUGGGUGCGCGCGCGCGCACACACACACACACACACGCACACACACACCCCCACGCCCCGGUCUAAGACUUCCAUAUUUGAUCUUCUAAGGUAACCGUCUUCCCUUUGUUAGUAUGAGCCCUGGGCUUUUUUCUUACUAUGCUAUUUCACAGGCAAAAUGAAGGGUAUAAAGGAACAUUCAAAAUGAAGGCACCCAAGGUUGAUUCAUGGCCUGCUAAACUUGUCUACAUUCAAAUUUAUUUAUUUAUAUAAAAAAAUUAAUUAAUUUAUUUGGCUGCACUGGGUCUUUGU